GGACCUUUAGCUCAGUUGGUCAGAGCAAUCGGCUCAUAACCGAUCGGUCCCGGGUUCGAGUCCCUGAAGGUCCAC
rnacentral:tRNA from 1 species